rnacentral:rRNA from 1 species
AUUGAACGCUGGCGGCAUGCUUUACACAUGCAAGUCGAACGGCAACGCGGGCUUCGUCCUGGCGGCGAGUGGCGGACGGGUGAGUAAUUCACACGUACGUGACCAGUAUAGGGGGCUAGCCCGACGACAGCAGGCUUGAUCCAACAUACGACAUGAGGGUGAAAGCGGUGGUUCGAUAGGCAAAGCGGGAUUUGCUCGGACGUAGACGGAUUAGCUAGUUGGUGGGGUAAAGGCUUACCAAGGCGACGAUCCGUAGCUGGUCUGAGAGGCCGACCAGCCACACUGGGACUGAGACACGGCCCAGACUCCUACGGGAGGCAGCAGUGGGGAAUUUUGGACAAUGGGGGCAACCCUGAUCCAGCCAUGCCGCGUGCGGGAAGAAGGCCUUCGGGUUGUAAACCGCUUUUGUUCGGGAAGAAAAACUCUGGGCUAAUACCCCGGGGGGAUGACGGUACCGGAAGAAUAAGCACCGGCUAACUACGUG